UCGACUGCAUGAAGUCGGAAUCGCUGUAAUCGCAGAUCAGCAAAGCUGCGGUGAAUACGUUCCCGGGCCUUGUACACACCGCCCGUCACACCACGGGAGUCGGUCGCGCCUGAAGCCGGUGGCCUAUCAGUAAUGGGGGAGCCGUCUAUGGCGAGAUUGGUAACUGGGGUGAAGUCGUAACAAGGUACC
rnacentral:rRNA from 1 species